UACGAAGGGGGCGAGCGUUUGUUCGGAAUUACUGGGCGUAAAGGGCGCGCAGGCGGCUCUGAAAGUCAGAUGUGAAAGCCCCGGGCUUAACCUGGGAAUUGCAUUUGAUACUCUGGAGCUUGAGUACGGGAGAGGAGAGUGGAAUUCCCAGUGUAGAGGUGAAAUUCGUAGAUAUUGGGAAGAACACCGGUGGCGAAGGCGGCUCUCUGGACCGUAACUGACGCUGAGGCGCGAAAAGCGUGGGGAGCAAACAGG
rnacentral:rRNA from 1 species